GAUGAACGCUGGCGGCGUGCCUAAUACAUGCAAGUCGAGCGAACAGACGAGGAGCUUGCUCCUCUGACGUUAGCGGCGGACGGGUGAGUAACACGUGGAUAACCUACCUAUAAGACUGGGAUAACUUCGGGAAACCGGAGCUAAUACCGGAUAAUAUAUUGAACCGCAUGGUUCAAUAGUGAAAGACGGUUUUGCUGUCACUUAUAGAUGGAUCCGCGCCGCAUUAGCUAGUUGGUAAGGUAACGGCUUACCAAGGCAACGAUGCGUAGCCGACCUGAGAGGGUGAUCGGCCACACGGGAACUGAGACACGGUCCAGACUCCUACGGGAGGCAGCAGUAGGGAAUCUUCCGCAAUGGGCGAAAGCCUGACGGAGCAACGCCGCGUGAGUGAUGAAGGUCUUCGGAUCGUAAAACUCUGUUAUGAGGGAAGAACAAAUGUGUAAGUAACUAUGCACGUCGUGACGGUACCUAAUCAGAAAGCCACGGCUAACUACGUG
rnacentral:rRNA from 1 species